AACGUUGCAUGGUUGAUGGUGCCAAAUGGGCUGGUCCGAGCAUUUCAGAAACUGCUGAUCUACUGGGAUUUUCAUGCACAACCAUCUCUAGGGUUUACAGAGAAUGGUCCAAA